AAAAAAUUAAGCUGAACAAAUGACUUCUGCCCUUUCCUUGACAUUCUGUUCAUCUGAAGUUAUGAUGCUUCAAAUAUUUGUCAAACGAUUUUCUUUAAAUCACAUGGGUUUAUCCAAGCAAUGUGUCAAAUUCUGCACAGUUUAGUUCCAACCCUAAUUAAACACACCCGAUCAAACUAAUUGAGUCCCUCAGGCUUGUUUGAAACCUACAGGCAAGUGUGUCGGAGCAGGGUUGAAACUAAACUGUCCAGGGCUGGAGCCCUCCAGGAACUGAAUUUGGCACACCUAGUUUAAAUGUUAACGGAUUUAUUUGAACCUUAGGUAGACAUUCUAAUAAUACUCAAAUGGACCAUCAAAAUGAAGUGUCACCGAACCAUUUUAUAAAAAAAAAAAAAAAAAGAAAGGAAAAAGUGUGUUCAUAUUUAUUUUAUAGAUUUAUUUUUUUAUCUUUUUAUAUAUGUGUCUUAUUUUUCCUGGCAUUUCUGGGUUAAAACCCAUGAAUUAAAAACCACUAAAAUAGAUAAGUGUUUGAUGUAUUAUUAAUGAUGAUGCUUUAUUGUCUGUAAAGGAGAAAGCAGAGCUGUGUCAGAAGGUCCAGAGUUUGGGUCUGCAGUUGCAGAGAGAGCAGAGGAGCAAACAGGACUUCAGUGAACAGAUGUCGGAUCUUCAUUCUGAGCUUUCACAAGCUAAGAGCCAAAGCAGCAAACAGAAGAUGGACACAAUGCAGAUGAAAGAGGAGCUGCUUUCAGUUAAAGAGUUGAAAGAAAAGCUGUCGUCUAACCUAACCAAGGCCACAGAGAGACUACAGGUGACCCUUAACCAGUUACACGAGCUGGAGGCGGAGAAACUAAUCCAAACCAAUCAGAUUACAGCGCUGGAGACUGAACGCUUGCAGCUGAUUGGAGAGAAGGAGGAGCUAAGGAAAACAUUUGAUGAUGGUCUUCAUGAAAAAAUUAAGCAGCUGGGAGAGAGAUGCUGCCAACUCAAGUAUGAAUAAACAAAUAUUACAUAAUAUAUAGAUUGUUUAAUUCUAUUUCUAAUCUGGGUUAUUCCCGUCUCAAAUCAAGGAAACAGCGGGACAAUCUGGAGCAAGAAAAUCAGCGUCUGCAAUUCAAACGUAAAGAACUGGAACAAAAAAUAGAAAGCCUGGAGGCGGGGCAGCAACACAAAAAAGAGGAGGAGCAUCAUAUGUGGGCGGAGUUUGAGCGGGAGAAGGAGGAAUUAAAGAAAGUGGCAGCUCACUGGAACGAGAGAUGGCUGGAUGUGGCGAUGACGUUAUGCUCAACUCAGGAAGAACUAGAUGUGCUCAAAAGUCAACAGCAAGAGAAAGACGGAGUAUGUUUUUGAUUUAAUCAUUUGGGAAGUGUGUGGUCUUACUGUGUUUUACAAAGGACCACAAGCAAGGUCUGGAAUUUUAUUAAAAGUAAAGAUUUCCCACUCUUUCCUAAUGUUGGGAUCAGACGGAAGGCAAUACAAAAGAUUGUAUUCCAUUACUUAAAGUCAUCCUUAUCGUUGGGCUUGUUGCUUUUAUUUUUGUUUACCUGUUGAAUACAUGAAAUGGUUGGCGGAGCUAAACUGUGAUGUAGAAGUUGGUAUUGAUCAUCUGUGGAACCGUAUUUAGCCACAAUCUCAGGUAGUUUCAGAUCAAGUUUAAUUUUUAAUUUUUAAUAUUUUGGAAGCCAUUAG
rnacentral:lncRNA from 1 species